rnacentral:rRNA from 1 species
UCAGGACGAACGCUGGCGGCGUGCCUAACACAUGCAAGUCGAACGAAGCUCCUGCGUGGAAUCUUCGGAUGAAGCAAGGGAAGACUUAGUGGCGGACGGGUGAGUAACGCGUGAGCAACCUGCCUUUCAGAGGGGGAUAACAGUUGGAAACGACUGCUAAUACCGCAUAACAUAAUUUUGUCGCAUGGCAAGAUUAUCAAAGCUGAGGCGCUGAGAGAUGGGCUCGCGUCCGAUUAGAUAGUUGGUGGGGUAACGGCCUACCAAGUCGACGAUCGGUAGCCGGACUGAGAGGUUGAACGGCCACAUUGGGACUGAGACACGGCCCAGACUCCUACGGGAGGCAGCAGUGGGGGAUAUUGCACAAUGGGCGAAAGCCUGAAUGCAGCAACGCCGCGUGAGGGAGGACGGUUUUCGGAUUGUAAACCUCUGUCUUUGGUGAAGAAGGAAGUGACGGUAGCCAAGGAGGAAGCCACGGCUAACUACGUGCCAGCAGCGGC